rnacentral:lncRNA from 1 species
GAAGAAUUUAUCUCUCCUCAUUUCUGAGCAACAGCUUUUCUGGAUUAGCCCUGAGCUAACACCUGCUGCCAAUCCUCCUCUUUUUGCUGAGGAAGACUGGCCCUGAGCUAACAUCCGUGCCCAUCUUCCUCUACUUUAUAUGUGGGACGCCUACCACAGCAUGGCAUGUGAAGUGGUGCCAUGUCCGCACCCAGGAUCUGAACCAGCAAACCCCAGGCUGCCAAAGAGGAAUGUGCCCACUUAACCGCUACACCACUGGGUCAGCCCCUGGACUUUUAUAUGUAUCUUUUUCUAUAAGUUAAUUUUCCCCUAUAUUGUUGUAUUGUUUUCUAGUGUUUUGGGGGAGUUUAAUAUGCUAACAUAUAAUAACUUAAUUUAGAAUAAUGCCAACUAAAUUUCAAUAAUAUAAGAAAACUUUGUUUCUAUACAGCUCCAUUCCAUCCCCCCUUGUUUGUGCUGUUAUUCUCAUACAAAAUACAUCUUUUACAUUGUGUGCCCAUGAGCAAAAAUUUAUAUUUAUUCCUUUAUGCAGUUUUCUUUUAAGUAACAUAGGGAAAAUAAACUUUUGCAAACAAAAAUAUAUAUGUAUACUCUCUUUUAUAUUUACCUAUGUAGUUAACUUGCUGGUGCUCAUUAUUUCUUUACAUGAAUUUGAAUUACUGCCUCAUUUUGUUUCAUUUCAGCCUGAAAGACUCUCUUUAGUAUUUCUUUUGGGACAGUUCUGCUAGUGAUCAGUUCUCUCACUUUUUUUUUUACCUACAAAUAUGUUAAUUUCUCCUUUAUUUUAAAGAAUUGCUUUGCUGUAUACAGAAUUUUUAUUUGAUAGACUUUUCUCUCAGCACAUUGAACACGUCAUUUUACUGCCUUCAAGACUCCUUGGAUUCCGAGGAUAAAUCGGCAGUUAAUCAUAUUAAUGGUCUCUUGUACAGAAUGAGUUGCGUAUCUCUUGUUACUUUCCAGAUUCUUUCUUUUUCUUUGGCUCUGAAAACUUUUAUUACGAUGUGUUUGGUUAACCAUCUCUGAUUUAUCUCAUUGAGCUUCACGGGUGUAUAGAUUUGUGAUUUUCAUCAAAGCUUGAAUGUUUUCAGUCAUUAUUUCUUCACAUAUUCUUUCUGCUCUUUCUCUCUUUUCUGGGACUCCAUUACUCAUAUUUGCAUAUACUUGAUUAUGACCCAUAAUUCCCUGAGGCUCUGUUUACUUUUUAAUUCAAAUUUAAUUCGAUUUUUCUGUUCUUCAGACUGGAUGCUUUCAAUUG